rnacentral:rRNA from 1 species
UACGAAGGGGGCAAGCGUUGUUCGGAAUUACUGGGCGUAAAGGGAGUGUAGGCGGAUUAUAAAGAUAGGGGUGAAAUCCCGGGGCUCAACCUCGGAACUGCCUUUAUAACUUAUAGUCUAGAAUCAUAGAGAGGGUGACGGAAUAUCCAGUGUAGAGGUGAAAUUCGUAGAUAUUGGAUAGAACACCGGUGGCGAAGGCGGUCACCUGGCUAUGUAUUGACGCUGAGGCUCGAAAGCGUGGGGAGCGAACAGG